rnacentral:misc_RNA from 1 species
CUGCUACCUCUUACCCAUGUCUUUUGAGUACCUUCGUUUCCUCGGCGGGUAAGCACGCCGGUUGGACAACAUUCAAACCCUUUGCAGUUGCAAUCAGCGUCUGAAAAAACUUAAUAGUUACAACUUUCAACAACGGAUCUCUUGGUUCUAGCAUCGAUGAAGAACGCAGCACAAAAAA